rnacentral:rRNA from 1 species
UACGUAGGGGGCGAGCGUUGUCCGGAUUUAUUGGGCGUAAAGAGCUCGUAGGCGGCUGUUCAAGUCGAACGUGAAAACUCGGAGCUCAACUCCGAGCCUGCGUUCGAUACUGGGCGGCUAGAGUCUGGUAGGGGGCCUGGAAUUCCUGGUGUAGCGGUGGAAUGCGCAGAUAUCAGGAGGAACACCGGUGGCGAAGGCGG